CACGUAGGGAGCAAGCGUUGUCCGGAUUUAUUGGGCGUAAAGAGCUCGUAGGUGGUUCGGUAAGUCGGGUGUGAAAACUCUGGGCUCAACUCAGAGACGCCACCCGAUACUGCUGUGACUCGAGUCUGGUAGGGGAGUGUGGAAUUCCCAGUGUAGCGGUGAAAUGCGUAGAGAUCUGGAGGAACACCCGUGGCGAAGGCGGCUCCCUGGUCCGAUUCUGACGCUGAGACGCGAAAGCGCGGGGAGCGAACGGG
rnacentral:rRNA from 1 species